AGUGAACGCUGGCGGUAGGCCUAACACAUGCAAGUCGAACGGCAGCACAGUAAGAGCUUGCUCUUACGGGUGGCGAGUGGCGGACGGGUGAGGAAGACAUCGGAAUCUACUUUUUCGUGGGGGAUAACGUAGGGAAACUUACGCUAAUACCGCAUACGACCUACGGGUGAAAGCAGGAGAUCUUCGGACCUUGCGCGAUUGAAUGAGCCGAUGUCGGAUUAGCUAGUUGGUGGGGUAAAGGCCCACCAAGGCGACGAUCCGUAGCUGGUCUGAGAGGAUGAUCAGCCACACUGGAACUGAGACACGGUCCAGACUCCUAAGGGAGGCAGCAGUGGGGAAUAUUGGACCAUGGGCGAAAGCCGGAUCCAGCCAUACCGCGUGGGUGAAGAAGGCCUUCGGGUUGUAAAGCCCUUUUGUUGGGAAAGAAAAGCAGCAGGUUAAUACCCCGCUGUUCUGACGGUACCCAAAGAAUAAGCACCGGCUAACUUCGUG
rnacentral:rRNA from 1 species